rnacentral:lncRNA from 1 species
GAGGGCAAAUUAUCAAAGCUUUGUUUGAUUUGAUACCAACAUCCAGGGCCAGUCAAAUAGCAUUUCAUACAUCACACUAGAAUGAUCAUAGCAUGUUUCAGAUCACAUGGACACCCCUCUGACAUAACUACCUUUACUAUUUAUUAUCUCCUCAGUAGGCAGCAAAGCCAGGAGAUGUUUUAACUAAAGCAACAGUUAUGCUGAGACCUACAUCUGAGGUACUUUUUAAAGUACAGCCCCAAAGUGUCUGAAUGGUAGGAAAAUUGCAUUAGAAUCAAUUAUCUAGAAUUUACCUAGGAGACAUUUUGUUGUCACU